AUAUAAGUGUUGUCUAAACACUCCUAAUCCAUCUCUAACUCUUAUAAAUACUCAAA
rnacentral:sRNA from 1 species